CGAGAAAAGAACCAACAGGGAUUGCCUUAGUAACGGCGAGUGAAGCGGCAAAAGCUCAGAUUUGAAAUCCGGCGUCAUUUUGGCGUCCGAGUUGUAAUCUGUAGAGGAGUAUUCGAGUGUGGAUUUGGCUUAAGUUCCUUGGAACAGGACGUCAUAGAGGGUGAGAACCCCGUUAACGGCCUACGUCUUAUGCUCAUGUGAAUCUCCUUCAACGAGUCGAGUUGUUUGGGAAUGCAGCUCUAAAUGGGUGGUAAAUUCCAUCUAAAGCUAAAUACUGGCAAGAGACCGAUAGCGCACAAGUAGAGUGAUCGAAAGAUGAAAAGAACUCUGAACAGAGAGUUAAAUAGUACGUGAAAUUGUUGAAAGGGAAGCACUUGCUACCAGACACGCCUGUAGUUGAUCAACCUCCAUUCUUGGUGGUGCACUCGGCUAUAGGUGGGUCAGCAUCAGUUACAACGGUGGGAUAAAGACUUUGGGAAUGUAGCUUCCUUCGGGAAGUGUUAUAGCCCUUGGUGUAAUACCAUCUGAUGUGACUGAGGCCCGCGCUUCGGCGAGGAUGCUGGCAUAAUGGUCGUAAGUGACCCGUCUUGAAACACGGACCAAGGAGUCUAACAUCUAUGCGAGUGUUUGGGCGUCAAAACCCUUACGCGGAAUGAAAGUGAAUGAAGGUGGGAACCGCAAGGUGCACCAUCGACCGAUCCUGAUGUUUUCGGAUGGAUUUGAGUAGGAGCAUAGCUGUUGGGACCCGAAAGAUGGUGAACUAUGCCUGAAUAGGGUGAAGCCAGAGGAAACUCUGGUGGAGGCUCGCAGCGGUUCUGACGUGCAAAUCGAUCGUCAAAUUUGGGUAUAGGGGCGA
rnacentral:rRNA from 1 species